rnacentral:rRNA from 1 species
AUUGAACGCUGGCGGCAGGCUUAACACACGCAAGUCGAGCGGGGUGAUGGUGCUUGCACUAUCACUUAGCGGCGGACGGGUGAGUAAUGCUUAGGAAUCUGCCUAUUAGUGGGGGACAACAUCUCGAAAGGGAUGCUAAUACCACAUACGUCCUACGGGAGAAAGCAGGGGAUCACUUGUGACCUUGCGCUAAUAGAUGAGCCUAAGUCGGAUUAGCUAGGUGGUGGGGUAAAGGCCUACCAAGGCGACGAUCUGUAGCUGGUCUGAGAGGAUGAUCCGCCACACUGGGACUGAGACACGGCCCAGACUCCUCCGGGAGGCAGCAGUGGGGAAUAUUGGACAAUGGGCGCAAGCCUCAUCCAGCCAUGCCGCGUGUGCGAAGAAGGCCUUAUGGUUGUAAAGCACUUUAAGCGAGGAGGAGGCUACUGAAGUUAAUACCUUCAGAUAGUGGACGUUACUCGCAGAAUAAGCACCGGCUAACUCUGUGCCAGCCGCCGCAGUAAGAC